rnacentral:rRNA from 1 species
AGCGUUGUUCGGAAUCACUGGGCGUAAAGCGCACGCAGGCGGAUUGAUAAGUCAGGGGUGAAAUCCCGGAGCUCAACUUCGGAAUUGCCUUUGAUACUGUCAGUCUUCGAGUUCGGGAGAGGUUGGCGGAAUUCCUAGUGUAG